UACGGAGGGUGCGAGCGUUGUCCGGAAUCACUGGGCGUAAAGGGCGCGUAGGUGGCACGGGUAGUCGUCGGUGAAAGCUCAGGGCUCAACCCUGAGUCGGCCGGUGAUACUCCCGAGCUCGAGUGUGGUAGAGGCCAAUGGAAUUCCGGGUGUAGCGGUGGAAUGCGUAGAGAUCCGGAAGAACACCGGUGGCGAAGGCGGUUGGCUGGGCCACAACUGACACUGAGAGACGAAAGCUAGGGGAGCGAAUGGG
rnacentral:rRNA from 1 species